AGAAUCAACGCUGGCGGCGUGCCUAACACAUGCAAGUCGAACGAGAAAGUGGAGUAAUCCAUGAGUAAAGUGGCGCACGGGUGAGUAACACGUGACUAACCUACCCUUGAGUGGGGGAUAACCUAGGGAAACCUGGGCUAAUACCGCAUAAUACCUUCGGGUCAAAGGAGCAAUUCGCUUAAGGAGGGGGUCGCGGCCGAUUAGUUAGUUGGCGGGGUAAUGGCCCACCAAGACUGUGAUCGGUAUCCGGCCUGAGAGGGCGCGACGGAACGACGACUAGGAACUGAAACACGGUCCAGACUCCUACGGGAGGCAGCAGUGGGGAAUUUUGCGCAAUGGGGGAAACCCUGACGCAGCAACGCCGCGUGGAGGAUGAAGUCCCUUGGGACGUAAACUCCUUUCGAUCGGGACGAUAAUGACGGUACCGAGAGAAGAAGCCCCGGCUAACUUCGUGCCAGCAGCCGC
rnacentral:rRNA from 1 species